ensembl:processed_transcript
AAGCGCCGCCUCGUCGCGCUCCACCAGCGGCACGGCGACUCCACUCCGCCGGCCUGAUCGAAGCGCUCUCGGUGGGAUGAAGUCCGGAGCUCCAUCCCCGCACACCCCGUCCUCGUAAGACUCCGACAUCUUCAGGAUCAGUUGGUGGAAUGCAGCGGAUGCCCUUCCAGCCGCAACCCAUCUCUGGGAAACAUCCACACACACACUCAUACACUACGGACAAUUUUAGCCUAUACCCGAUUCACCUGUACCGCAUGUCUUUGGACUGUGGGGGAAACUGGAGCACCCGGAGGAAACCCACGCGAACGCAGGGAGAACAUGCAAACUCCACAAAGAAACAUCAACUGAGCCGAGGAUCGAGCAACCCAGCGACCUUCUUGCUGUGAGGCGAACGUGCCCACUGCGUCACUGUGUCGCUACUACUUUUACACUACUAAUUGUUUUUACAAAUGUAAGUGGAUUGAACAUACAAUUGUGUUGAUUUAGCUUAUUUUAAAUAAGUAGUUUGAACAAGCAGCAAGAAUAUUUUUUGAGUAUACCUGUGGGAAAAAAAAAUAUCCCAUACAGUUUUCAAAUAUAUGUUUUUAAAGCAUAUAUACAUUUAUAACUUUUCUACAAAGAAAUUCUGGCCACUUUGGAAAAUAAAAACACAUUUUAAACU